CCUAGUAACGGCGAGUGAAGCGGCAACAGCUCAAAUUUGAAAUCUGGCCCCCUCGGGGUCCGAGUUGUAAUUUGCAGAGGGAGCUUUUGGCGUCGGUCGUGGUCUAAGUUCCUUGGAACAGGACGUCACAGAGGGUGAGAAUCCCGUACGUGGCCGCCGGCCUUCGCCUUGUAAAGCCCCUUCGACGAGUCGAGUUGUUUGGGAAUGCAGCUCUAAAUGGGAGGUAAAUUUCUUCUAAAGCUAAAUACCCGCCAGAGACCGAUAGCGCACAAGUAGAGUGAUCGAAAGAUGAAAAGCACUUUGGAAAGAGAGUGAAAAAGCACGUGAAAUUGUUGAAAGGGAAGCGCUUGCGGCCAGACUUGCCCGCGGUUGAUCAUCCAGGCUCCGGCCUGGUGCACUCCUCCGCGGGCAGGCCAGCAUCAGUUCGGGCGGUCGGAUAAAGGCCUCUAUCACGUACCACCCCUCGGGGUGGCCUUAUAGGGGAGGCGCAACACGGCCAGCCCGGACUGAGGUUCCGCGCAUCUGCUAGGAUGCUGGCGUAAUGGCAGCAAGCGGCCCGUCUUGAAACACGGACCAAGGAGUCUAACAUCUAUGCGAGUGUUUGGGUGUCAAGCCCGAGCGCGCAAUGAAAGUGAACGGAGGUGGGAACCCUUACCGGUGCACCAUCGACCGAUCCUGAUGUCUUCGGAUGGAUUUGAGUAAGAGCAUAGCUGUUGGGACCCGAAAGAUGGUGAACUAUGCCUGAAUAGGGUGAAGCCAGAGGAAACUCUGGUGGAGGCUCGCAGCGGUUCUGACGUGCAAAUCGAUCGUCAAAUUUGGGC
rnacentral:rRNA from 2 species